AGCAUACUGAGACCCAGAGUGAUAAAGAACAAGAGUCUGAAAAAAAAAAAAAAAAAAGGAAAAAAAAAUGGGUAAGGGGGGAAAAAAAGUAUACUAGCCGGGCUGGCUCAGGCCAUAAAGCAUGCGACUCUUGAUCUUGGGGUCAUGAGUUCAAGCCCCGCGUUGGGUGUGGAGUUCGCCUAACACAAAAGAAAAAAAUAGGGUCCUGCACACUGUUGGGAACUCAGUACAUAUCUGUAGAAUGACUGGAUUACUGUUAUGUGGUUAUGCCUCUGCACUAUAUACUGUGUGGCAUUCUGUGACUGACAUACAUAAUUUGGAGGUAAAUAAAUUUUUCGUUGGACCAUAGGCUGCAGGCUCCUGAGAUGCCACAUCCAGACGAAAGCAGGGGAAGGCACACCGCCUAGAAAUACUCAGACGUUGAGGUGCCUCCUAUUGGGUGGGGGCAUCUGGGUGGCUUGGUUGGUUAAGUGUGCGACUCUUGAUUUCGGUUCCGGUCGUGAUCUCAGGGUUGUGAGAUUGAGCCCCACAUCGCGCUCAGUCUGCUUGAAAUUCUCUCUCUCCCUCUUCCUCUGCCCCUCUCCUCGCUUGCCCGUGCCCUUUAAAUAAAAAAUAAAGAAA
rnacentral:lncRNA from 1 species